rnacentral:rRNA from 1 species
AUGGCCGCUUCGCGCCCAACGGAGCUGCUGCAAACCGCCUCUGCCGCGCAAGCCUCUCACGCCUCCACCGUCACAGGUUCACGCUUGCAAACCGCCUCUGCCGCGCAAGCCUCUCACGCCUCCACCGUCACAGGUUCACGCUUGCAAACCGCCAGGACUCUGCCCGGUCGCCUCAACUACGACGAACCACCCUCGUCUUAUUGCAGCGGGAGAGUCGUCACCGGCGUCGAUUGCGGUGGGGAGCCGGCCCUGGCCGUGACCCGCCGCCGGUCCACCCCUCAGCUCCGGGUUAAAGCUUCACCUCGGGCGGCCGGCCUGGCCGCUUCAGCUGCUGCCUCGGGCCGCCCACGCCGGACCAGGACUGCGACACCAGCCUGUAAACCGCCGCCGCGGAUUCAGCCCGCCGGACCUCCGCCCUGA